UGAAACCUGGGUCUAUUCCUCCUAUGUGAUAUGCUUUAUCAAUGACCAGCUCCUGGGUAACGCACUUGAUCUGAAGAAGUGGGCCCAGAAGGUGUGGGAUGUGGUCGAUAUCCGGCCCAGUGCACUGUACGAGGCGCUUACUCUGGACUAUGCCACGAAGUUCUUGAAGGACACCAAGCAUGAUUUUGUGUUCUUGGACAUUAGUAUUGAUCUUGCUCCAAUUGGAAGGCUGAUUUUUGAACUAUAUUGUGAUGCGUGCCCCAGAACAUGUACAAAUUUUCAGGUCUUGUGCACAGGAACAUCAGGGUUUUCUGAGAGAGGCAUAAAGCUUCACUACAAAGAUUCGAUUUUUCAUCGAGUAGUCAAGAACGGUUGGGUACAAGGAGGAGAUAUAGUAGAAGGACGAGGGGAUGACGGAGAGUCUAUUUAUGGACCAACGUUUGAAGAUGAAAACUUUUCGGUUCCUCAUAAUAAGCGGGGAGUUCUUGGAAUGGUCAACAAAGGGCAUCAUACCAAUGGUUCGCAAUUCUACAUCACACUGCAAGCAACUCCCUAUCUGGAUAAAAAAUACGUGGCUUUUGGGCAACUCAUUGAAGGAACCGAAGUUCUUAGACGUCUCGAAUUAGUCCCAACAGAGAACGAAAGACCGUUGGUCCUUUGCAGUAUCACAGACAGUGGGAUUCUUUAUACAUGAUUUUCACACCAGUCACCUUCUCCGUGGUGCUUUGUUGCUGUGCAUU
rnacentral:lncRNA from 1 species